GGGGUUGUGGCUCAGUGGUAGAGCACUCACCUUGUACACGAGAGACCUUGGGUUUGAUCCUCAGCAUCGCAU
rfam:Ictidomys tridecemlineatus contig051052, whole genome shotgun sequence.